GGCAACCCUGAUCCAGCCAUGCCGCGUGUGUGAAGAAGGCCUUUUGGUUGUAAAGCACUUUAAGCAGUGAAGAAGACUCAAUGGUUAAUACCCAUUGACGAUGACAUUAGCUGCAGAAUAAGCACCGGCUAACUCUGUGCCAGCAGCCGCGGUAAUACAGAGGGUGCAAGCGUUAAUCGGAAUUACUGGGCGUAAAGCGAGCGUAGGUGGCUUGAUAAGUCAGAUGUGAAAUCCCCGGGCUUAACCUGGGAACUGCAUCUGAUACUGUUAGGCUAGAAUAGGUGAGAGGAAGGUAGAAUUCCAGGUGUAGCGGUGAAAUGCGUAGAGAUCUGGAGGAAUACCGAUGGCGAAGGCAGCCUUCUGGCAUCAUAUUGACACUGAGGUUCGAAAGCGUGGGUAGCAAACAGGAUUAGAUACCCUGGUAGUCCACGCCGUAAACGAUGUCUACUAGUCGUUGGGUCCCUUGAGGACUUAGUGACGCAGCUAACGCAAUAAGUAGACCGC
rnacentral:rRNA from 1 species